rnacentral:misc_RNA from 1 species
UACGGAGGGUGCAAGCGUUAAUCGGAAUUACUGGGCGUAAAGCGUACGUAGGCGGAUCAGAAAGUUGGGGGUGAAAUCCCGGGGCUCAACCCCGGAACUGCCCUUGAUACUGGUAGUCUGGAGUUCUGGAGAGGUGAGUGGAAUUCCGAGUGUAGAGGUGAAAUUCGUAGAUAUUCGGAGGAACACCAGUGGCGAAGGCGGCUCACUGGCCAGAUACUGACGCUGAGGUGCGAAAGUGUGGGGAGCAAACAGG